GCCUGGGUGGCUCAGUUGGUUAAGCGUCUGACUUCAGCUCAGGUCAUGAUCUCAUGGUCCGUGAGUUCAAGCCCCGCGUCGGGCU
rnacentral:tRNA from 1 species